rnacentral:rRNA from 1 species
UACAGAGGUGCCGAGCGUUAGGCGGAAUCACUGGGCUUAAAGCGUGUGUAGGCGGAUGCCUAAGUACCUUGUGAAAUCCCACGGCUUAACCGUGGAACUGCUCGGUAUACUGGGUGUCUUGAGCCACUUAGGGGUUACCGGAACAAAUGGUGGAGCGGUGAAAUGCGUAGAUAUCAUUUGGAACGCCAAUGGUGAAAACAGGUAACUGGGAGUGUGCCGACGCUGAGACACGAAAGCCAGGGGAGCGAACGGG